GACGAACGCUGGCGGCGUGCUUAACACAUGCAAGUCGAACGCUGAAGCUCAGCUUUUGUUGGGUGGAUGAGUGGCGAACGGGUGAGUAACACGUGAGUAACCUGCCCCCUUCUUUGGGAUAACGCCCGGAAACGGGUGCUAAUACUGGAUAUUCACUGGUCUUCGCAUGGGGGUUGGUGGAAAGGGUUUUUCUGGUGGGGGAUGGGCUCGCGGCCUAUCAGCUUGUUGGUGGGGUGAUGGCCUACCAAGGCUUUGACGGGUAGCCGGGCUGAGAGGGUGACCGGGCACAGUGGGACUGAGAUACGGCCCAGACUCCUACGGGAGGCAGAAGUGGGGAAUAUUGCACAAUGGGCGCAAGCCUGAUGCAGCGACGCCGCGUGAGGGAUGGAGGCCUUCGGGUUGUGAACCUCUUUCGCUAAUGGUCAAGCCGCAACAAUGGUUGUGGUGAGGGUAGUGGGUAAAGAAGCGCCGGCUAACUACGUG
rnacentral:rRNA from 1 species